rnacentral:lncRNA from 1 species
GCCGUAGAAGCUCCAAAACCAUGGAUCUGAGAAGAUCUGAACGGACACCCAUUAAUUUCAUAUCUCAAAGCUUCGAACCCCAACAUUUAAGAGUGGAGGGAGGUGAGUACAGGCCAUCCAUGGCCUGAGAAGCCAUAAAUUACGGUGAUGUUAUGCUUGAAGAGAGUGAGAGGGGCUAGGGUUUCAAGAACCUUCGAGAGAAUUUUGAGAGAGGAGAGUGUUUG